rnacentral:rRNA from 1 species
ACGAACGCUGGCGGCGUGCCUAACACAUGCAAGUCGAGCGGGGACAUUCGAGGAGUAAUCCGAGUAUGUUCGAGCGGCGGACGGGUGAGUAACGCGUGAGCAACCUGUCCUUGUCUGGGGGAUAAGAAGCCGAAAGGCUUUCUAAUACCGCAUGAGACCACGGCGCCACAUGGCGCAGGGGUCAAAGGAGCAAUCCGGGCAAGGGUGGGCUCGCGUCUGAUUAGCUAGUUGGUGGGGUAACGGCUCACCAAGGCAGUGAUCAGUAGCCGACCUGAGAGGGUGAUCGGCCACAUUGGAACUGAGACACGGUCCAAACUCCUACGGGAGGCAGCAGUGGGGAAUAUUGGGCAAUGGGCGAAAGCCUGACCCAGCAACGCCGCGUGAAGGAAGAAGGUUUUCGGAUCGUAAACUUCUAUCCCAGGUGAAGAUAAUGACGGUAGCCUGGAAGGAAGCCCCGGCUAACUACGU